rnacentral:rRNA from 1 species
GUGGGCAACCUGCCUGUAAGACUGGGAUAACUUCGGGAAACCGAAGCUAAUACCGGAUAGGAUCUUCUCCUUCAUGGGAGAUGAUUGAAAGAUGGUUUCGGCUAUCACUUACAGAUGGGCCCGCGGUGCAUUAGCUAGUUGGUGAGGUAACGGCUCACCAAGGCAACGAUGCAUAGCCGACCUGAGAGGGUGAUCGGCCACACUGGGACUGAGACACGGCCCAGACUCCUACGGGAGGCAGCAGUAGGGAAUCUUCCGCAAUGGACGAAAGUCUGACGGAGCAACGCCGCGUGAGUGAUGAAGGCUUUCGGGUCGUAAAACUCUGUUGUUAGGGAAGAACAAGUACAAGAGUAACUGCUUGUACCUUGACGGUACCUAACCAGAAAGCCACGGCUAACUACGUGCCAGCAGCCGCGGUAAUACGUAGGUGGCAAGCGUUAUCCGGAAUUAUUGGGCGUAAAGCGCGCGCAGGCGGUUUCUUAAGUCUGAUGUGAAAGCCCACGGCUCAACCGUGGAGGGUCAUUGGAAACUGGGGGAACUUGAGUGCAGAAGAGAAAAGCGGAAUUCCACGUGUAGCGGUGAAAUGCGUAGAGAUGUGGAGAGAACACCAGUGGCGAAGGCGGCUUUUUUGGUCUUGUAACUGACGCCUGGAGGGCGGCGAAAAGC